GUGAUCCCAGGUCAGGCGGGACUACCCGCUGAGUUU
rnacentral:rRNA from 1 species